rnacentral:rRNA from 1 species
UACGGGGGGAGCAAGCGUUGUUCGGAUUUACUGGGCGUAAAGGGCGCGUAGGCGGCCACCGCAAGUCGACUGUGAAAUCUCCGGGCUUAACUCGGAAAGGUCAACUGAUACUGUGCGACUAGAGUGCAGAAGGGGCAACUGGAAUUCUCGGUGUAGCGGUGAAAUGCGUAGAUAUCGAGAGGAACACCUGCGGCGAAGGCGGGUUGCUGGGCUGACACUGACGCUGAGGCGCGAAAGCCAGGGGAGCGAACGGG